rnacentral:rRNA from 1 species
CCUACGGGUGGCAGCAGUGGGGAAUAUUGGGCAAUGGGCGCAAGCCUGACCCAGCAACGCCGCGUGAAGGAAGAAGGCUUUCGGGUUGUAAACUUCUUUUAUGAGGGACGAAAGAAAUGACGGUACCUCAUGAAUAAGACACGGCUAACUACGGGCCAGCAGCCGCGGUAAUACGUAGGUGGCAAGCGUUAUCCGGAUUUACUGGGUGUAAAGGGCGUGUAGGCGGGACUGCAAGUCAGAUGUGAAAAUUAUGGGCUCAACCCAUAACCUGAAGUGGAAACUGUAGAUCUUGAGUGAUGUAGAGGCAGGCGGAAUUCCGGGUGUAGCGGUGAAAUGCGUAGAUAUACGGAGGAACACCAGUGGCGAAGGCAGGCUGCUGGACAUUUACUGACGCUGAGGCGCGAAAGCGUGGGUAGCAAACAGGAUUAGAUACCCGAGUAGUC